ACUCCUACGGGAGGCAGCAGUAGGGAAUCUUCCGCAAUGGGCGAAAGCCUGACGGAGCAACGCCGCGUGAGUGAUGAAGGUCUUCGGAUCGUAAAACUCUGUUAUCAGGGAAGAACAAAUGUGUAAGUAACUGUGCACAUCUUGACGGUACCUGAUCAGAAAGCCACGGCUAACUACGUGCCAGCAGCCGCGGUAAUACGUAGGUGGCAAGCGUUAUCCGGAAUUAUUGGGCGUAAAGCGCGCGUAGGCGGUUUUUUAAGUCUGAUGUGAAAGCCCACGGCUCAACCGUGGAGGGUCAUUGGAAACUGGAAAACUUGAGUGCAGAAGAGGAAAGUGGAAUUCCAUGUGUAGCGGUGAAAUGCGCAGAGAUAUGGAGGAACACCAGUGGCGAAGGCGACUUUCUGGUCUGUAACUGACGCUGAUGUGCGAAAGCGUGGGGAUCAAACAGGAUUAGAUACCCUGGUAGUCCACGCCGUAAACGAUGAGUGCUAAGUGUUAGGGGGUUUCCGCCCCUUAGUGCUGCAGCUAACGCAUUAAGCACUCCGCCUGGGGAGUACGACCGCAAGGUUGAAACUCAAAGGAAUUGACGG
rnacentral:rRNA from 1 species